rnacentral:tmRNA from 1 species
GGGCUUUGCAUGUCACGGCCGAGGGCCUAUAUAUGGGGUGCCGGUCGCAAGGCCGGCUAUGGCGAUACAGGGCCUCACGGAAUAAUCGUAUCGGACCCGGGGGCAGUGCCCGGCGCCUCCACCA